rnacentral:lncRNA from 1 species
UGAGUUCAGCAUGAGUAGAUGGAGAAGUAAUGGAAGAAAAUGGAUUGAAGCCAAAUUACAAAGGCCCUGGUUGUUAUACUGAGGACUUCAGCCUUUAUUCUGGAUCAGUGGACUCCAGGUCUCACGGAAUGCUGAAUUUUUCGAGCACUCACCACAAGGUCUCAAGCCCCCGAGGACUACCAGGCAAAUUUCCAACAAAGCUGGGUUCACAACUGAGAAUUCCCAGUGUAUGGCACCACAAGGAAAAUAGCUGCAUUUGGAUAGUGACAUGGAGUGACUUAGAACCAGAACAGGCCUUAGGGAUCAGCUGGUCAUUUGACAUGUAACGGAGAAGAUGAGAGAAGACCAAGGACACACCGCUUAUGGGAGUCAAGAUCAGGACUCUUUCAUGAGGCCGUAUUACGUAGAAAUCAUGCAUCGGACUUACUUGAGUAUUGGUAUUUAGCACCAACACCAAAGUUCAAGAAGAGGAAACAGUACAGCAGUUGCAGUUUCAUAGUCUGAAAAGUACCUGUGUAUUGUUUUCUUUUAAAUCCUUGUGGUAGAGUUGCCUUAUAAUUCUCUUGUUGGAAGAAAGAACAAAGACACUUUAGAAGCAAAGCUGGAUCAGGUUUUUAUUACAUAUUUUAUUAGAUGUUUGGGACAAGAUGACCAAAUUUAAAUAACAUGCUAUAGAAUAUUAAGAUUCAAUAGCAGUUUCAUAUUCCAGAAUACAAAGAGUUAAACUUCUACGUCAAGACCUUCAAAGGUCAUGGUUAAGAGGCAAACAGAAGAGUGCAGAGGUCCCAUCACGACCUGUCUGCUGAAGGCCUCCAUGCCCCUUCGGAUGGGAGCUUUGGGUCAGUUGUACAGUCACAUGGCUCACCCAUUGGUUCGUGUUUUUUUCCAGAAAUAGAAUCAAUAGAGAACAGACAAACCCACAGUUGCCAGUUUGUACAGUCUUGUGGUUUCUGUCAGGGGCUACAGGCUCGAGCAGGUCUACCAGAUAAUGAAGGCAAACUAUUUCAGUUCCUGUGGGUCCAGAGCGCCUCAGCAGAGUUCUGGUUUCAAACAAAUGAAUAACAAAUUAAAAGGUACAGUAAAAUAAGGGGGUGGUUAAAAUAUAUUAACUAAAAUCAAUGGAGGAGAAACGUAGUUAAAAAGCCUGCAUUCUCAGCAGUAGUCUGUGAUGUAUUUUGUUAAUCUCUUAAAAUUUAUGUUAAAAGCCUUUUAACAGAAAGUCAAUAUAUUUGGGUGGUUGAGCGAGUAUAUCAUCCUCUACCGGCAGUUGCAUUAAAUACGAGGCAGGCUCCACUGUUUGUAGGAAAUGAACAGGGGUCCAUCCAACGGAAGUCCCACCUCAAGGAGACCAGACAUUUUUCCCAAAACAGCCUGUGGAGCCAAGCUCACUAUUAGCCCCCCCCCCUUUGCUUAGGUUCCCCACUGACGUCAACGAGAGUCCUGGAAAUGAAGCGGGAUCAGAAUACCAGAAGCAUAGCCUAAUAAUAGAGCC